GUGAUUAAAUCGAGCGUGUCUCAUUGACCGCUCACCCUUCUCACCAUCCACAUACACCUGUGCACUGUUUAGCCUGAGCCGGUUUUCCGGUCCAGGUUAUCAUUUCAUACAAACUCUAGUCUUAUGAAUGUAAACGUUUUAAUAACAUAAUA
rnacentral:misc_RNA from 1 species